rnacentral:lncRNA from 1 species
AUGACAACAUCAGGCACUGCAGGUCUGCCCCAGCGGGGCCCUUUCCAGCACUUCAUGAACAAGAAGGUGGAGAAGAGACUAGCCAGCUGGAAGGAGCGCUGCAGUCUCUAUGGAGACGUUGACAUGCACAAGUAUGAUCAGUCUGGGCAGGUCUUCACCCCUUUCCAAGUCCUCACCACCACGGUAGUUGCUGCCUAUCUACCCAUUCCCUGGCCAACGUUCCUUGUGCGUGUGCAUGUGUGUAGCCCAGAACUCAGCUUUCUUGAGAACCCAAGAAUGGAAAUCCCAAUUCUUCCCUCAAGGAGCUUCUCAUCUGCGAGAGAAACUGAGCCACAAGCCAAAAUAUAUGCUACAAACACAAAUACAAUUAAAUGUGAAUGA